rnacentral:siRNA from 1 species
GUCAGAGGUGAAAUUCUUGGAUU